rnacentral:misc_RNA from 1 species
AACCAUUCUCACCUGCGGCUAGACCUGCGGAAGGAUCAUUAAUAAAUGUUACUUCGGUAACUUAAUUAAUCCCUAACACCUGUGCAUCUUGUCGCUUCGGCGUCAUUUUAUAAACAUCAGUGUAAUGAAUGUAACGUAUUAUAACAAAUACAACUUUUAGCAAUGGAUCU